CGGAGGAAAAGAAACUAACAAGGAUUCCCCUAGUAACUGCGAGUGAAGCGGGAAAAGCUCAAAUUUAAAAUCUGGCGGUCUCUGGCCGUCCGAGUUGUAAUCUAGAGAAGUGUUAUCCGCGCUGGACCGUGUACAAGUCUCCUGGAAUGGAGCGUCAUAGAGGGUGAGAAUCCCGUCUUUGACACGGACUGCCAGGGCUUUGUGAUGCGCUCUCAAAGAGUCGAGUUGUUUGGGAAUGCAGCUCAAAAUGGGUGGUAAAUUCCAUCUAAAGCUAAAUAUUGGCGAGAGACCGAUAGCGAACAAGUACCGUGAGGGAAAGAUGAAAAGAACUUUGGAAAGAGAGUUAAACAGUACGUGAAAUUGCUGAAAGGGAAACGCUUGAAGUCAGUCGCGUUGGCCGGGGAUCAACCUUGCUUUUGCUGGGYGUACUUUCCGGUUGACGGGUCAGCAUCAAUUUUGACCGUUGGAUAAAGUUCAGGGGAAUGUGGCAUCUUCGGAUGUGUUAUAGCCCUUGGUCGCAUACAACGGUUGGGAUUGAGGAACUCAGCACGCCGCAAGGCCGGGUACUUGUACCACGUUCGUGCUUAGGAUGCUGGCAUAAUGGCUUUAAUCGACCCGUCUUGAAACACGGACCAAGGAGUCUAACAUGCCUGCGAGUGUUUGGGUGGAAAACUCGGACGCGUAAUGAAAGUGAAAGUUGAGAUCCCUGUCGUGGGGAGCAUCGACGCCCGGACCAGACCUUUUGUGACGGAUCCGCGGUAGAGCAUGUAUGUUGGGACCCGAAAGAUGGUGAACUAUGCCUGAAUAGGGUGAAGCCAGAGGAAACUCUGGUGGAGGCUCGUAGCGAUUCUGACGUGCAAAUCGAUCGUCAAAUUUGGGUAUAGGGGCGAAAG
rnacentral:rRNA from 1 species